rnacentral:rRNA from 1 species
AGAGUUUGAUCCUGGCUCAGAAUCAACGCUGGCGGCGUGCCUAACACAUGCAAGUCGAACGAGAAAGUGGAGCAAUCCAUGAGUAAAGUGGCGCACGGGUGAGUAACACGUGACUAACCUACCCUGGAGUGGGGGAUAACUGAGGGAAACCUUAGCUAAUACCGCAUAACACCUACGGGUCAAAGGAGCAAUUCGCUUUAGGAGGGGGUCGCGGCAGAUUAGUUAGUUGGCGGGGUAAUGGCCCACCAAGACAGUGAUCUGUAUCCGGCCUGAGAGGGCGCACGGACACACUGGAACUGAAACACGGUCCAGACUCCUACGGGAGGCAGCAGUGGGGAAUUUUGCGCAAUGGGGGAAACCCUGACGCAGCAACGCCGCGUGGAGGAUGAAGUCUCUUGGGACGUAAACUCCUUUCGAUUGGGAAGAUUAUGACGGUACCAAUA